AACGAACGCUGGCGGCAUGCCUAACACAUGCAAGUCGAACGAGACCUUCGGGUCUAGUGGCGCACGGGUGCGUAACGCGUGGGAACCUGCCCUUAGGUUCGGAAUAACUCCCCGAAAGGGGUGCUAAUACCGGAUAAUGUCUUCGGACCAAAGAUUUAUCGCCUUUGGAUGGGCCCGCGUUGGAUUAGCUAGUUGGUAGGGUAAAAGCCUACCAAGGCGACGAUCCAUAGCUGGUCUGAGAGGAUGAUCAGCCACACUGGGACUGAGACACGGCCCAGACUCCUACGGGAGGCAGCAGUGGGGAAUAUUGGACAAUGGGCGAAAGCCUGAUCCAGCAAUGCCGCGUGAGUGAUGAAGGCCUUAGGGUUGUAAAGCUCUUUUACCCGGGAUGAUAAUGACAGCACCGGGAGAAUAAGCUCCGGCUAACUCCGU
rnacentral:rRNA from 1 species